rnacentral:rRNA from 1 species
AUUGAACGCUGGCGGCAUGCCUUACACAUGCAAGUCGAACGGUAACGGGCCUUCGGGUGCCGACGAGUGGCGAACGGGUGAGUAAUGCAUCGGAACGUACCUUUCAGUGGGGGAUAACGUAGCGAAAGUUACGCUAAUACCGCAUAUUCUGUGAGCAGGAAAGCAGGGGAUCGCAAGACCUUGCGCUGAUUGAGCGGCCGAUGUCAGAUUAGCUAGUUGGUGAGGUAAAGGCUCACCAAGGCGACGAUCUGUAGCGGGUCUGAGAGGAUGAUCCGCCACACUGGAACUGAGACACGGUCCAGACUCCUACGGGAGGCAGCAGUGGGGAAUUUUGGACAAUGGGGGCAACCCUGAUCCAGCCAUGCCGCGUGAGUGAAGAAGGCCUUCGGGUUGUAAAGCUCUUUCGGCCGGGAACGAAAUCGUAUGGGUUAAUACCCUGUGCGGAUGACGGUACCGGCAUAAGAAGCACCGGCUAACUACGUGCCAGCAGCCGAC